rnacentral:rRNA from 1 species
GGGUUGUGAGGUUAAGCGACUAAGCGUACACGGUGGAUGCCCUGGCAGUCAGAGGCGAUGAAGGACGUGCUAAUCUGCGAUAAGCGUCGGUAAGGUGAUAUGAACCGUUAUAACCGGCGAUUUCCGAAUGGGGAAACCCAGUGUGUUUCGACACACUAUCAUUAACUGAAUCCAUAGGUUAAUGAGGCGAACCGGGGGAACUGAAACAUCUAAGUACCCCGAGGAAAAGAAAUCAACCGAGAUUCCCCCAGUAGCGGCGAGCGAACGGGGAGGAGCCCAGAGUCUGAAUCAGUGUGUGUGUUAGUGGAAGCGUCUGGAAAGGCGCGCGAUACAGGGUGACAGCCCCGUACACAAAAAUGCACAUAUUGUGAGCUCGAUGAGUAGGGCGGGACACGUGGUAUCCUGUCUGAAUAUGGGGGGACCAUCCUCCAAGGCUAAAUACUCCUGACUGACCGAUAGUGAACCAGUACCGUGAGGGAAAGGCGAAAAGAACCCCGGCGAGGGGAGUGAAAAAGAACCUGAAACCGUGUACGUACAAGCAGUGGGAGCCUCUUUUAUGGGGUGACUGCGUACCUUUUGUAUAAUGGGUCAGCGACUUAUAUUCUGUAGCAAGGUUAACCGAAUAGGGGAGCCGAAGGGAAACCGAGUCUUAACUGGGCGUUAAGUUGCAGGGUAUAGACCCGAAACCCGGUGAUCUAGCCAUGGGCAGGUUGAAGGUUGGGUAACACUAACUGGAGGACCGAACCGACUAAUGUUGAAAAAUUAGCGGAUGACUUGUGGCUGGGGGUGAAAGGCCAAUCAAACCGGGAGAUAGCUGGUUCUCCCCGAAAGCUAUUUAGGUAGCGCCUCGUGAAUUCAUCUCCGGGGGUAGAGCACUGUUUCGGCAAGGGGGUCAUCCCGACUUACCAACCCGAUGCAAACUGCGAAUACCGGAGAAUGUUAUCACGGGAGACACACGGCGGGUGCUAACGUCCGUCGUGAAGAGGGAAACAACCCAGACCGCCAGCUAAGGUCCCAAAGUCAUGGUUAAGUGGGAAACGAUGUGGGAAGGCCCAGACAGCCAGGAUGUUGGCUUAGAAGCAGCCAUCAUUUAAAGAAAGCGUAAUAGCUCACUGGUCGAGUCGGCCUGCGCGGAAGAUGUAACGGGGCUAAACCAUGCACCGAAGCUGCGGCAGCGACGCUUAUGCGUUGUUGGGUAGGGGAGCGUUCUGUAAGCCUGUGAAGGUGUGCUGUGAGGCAUGCUGGAGGUAUCAGAAGUGCGAAUGCUGACAUAAGUAACGAUAAAGCGGGUGAAAAGCCCGCUCGCCGGAAGACCAAGGGUUCCUGUCCAACGUUAAUCGGGGCAGGGUGAGUCGACCCCUAAGGCGAGGCCGAAAGGCGUAGUCGAUGGGAAACAGGUUAAUAUUCCUGUACUUGGUGUUACUGCGAAGGGGGGACGGAGAAGGCUAUGUUGGCCGGGCGACGGUUGUCCCGGUUUAAGCGUGUAGGCUGGUUUUCCAGGCAAAUCCGGAAAAUCAAGGCUGAGGCGUGAUGACGAGGCACUACGGUGCUGAAGCAACAAAUGCCCUGCUUCCAGGAAAAGCCUCUAAGCAUCAGGUAACAUCAAAUCGUACCCCAAACCGACACAGGUGGUCAGGUAGAGAAUACCAAGGCGCUUGAGAGAACUCGGGUGAAGGAACUAGGCAAAAUGGUGCCGUAACUUCGGGAGAAGGCACGCUGAUAUGUAGGUGAAGUCCCUUGCGGAUGGAGCUGAAAUCAGUCGAAGAUACCAGCUGGCUGCAACUGUUUAUUAAAAACACAGCACUGUGCAAACACGAAAGUGGACGUAUACGGUGUGACGCCUGCCCGGUGCCGGAAGGUUAAUUGAUGGGGUCAGCGCAAGCGAAGCUCUUGAUCGAAGCCCCGGUAAACGGCGGCCGUAACUAUAACGGUCCUAAGGUAGCGAAAUUCCUUGUCGGGUAAGUUCCGACCUGCACGAAUGGCGUAAUGAUGGCCAGGCUGUCUCCACCCGAGACUCAGUGAAAUUGAACUCGCUGUGAAGAUGCAGUGUACCCGCGGCAAGACGGAAAGACCCCGUGAACCUUUACUAUAGCUUGACACUGAACAUUGAGCCUUGAUGUGUAGGAUAGGUGGGAGGCUUUGAAGUGUGGACGCCAGUCUGCAUGGAGCCGACCUUGAAAUACCACCCUUUAAUGUUUGAUGUUCUAACGUGGACCCGUGAUCCGGGUUGCGGACAGUGUCUGGUGGGUAGUUUGACUGGGGCGGUCUCCUCCUAAAGAGUAACGGAGGAGCACGAAGGUUGGCUAAUCCUGGUCGGACAUCAGGAGGUUAGUGCAAUGGCAUAAGCCAGCUUGACUGCGAGCGUGACGGCGCGAGCAGGUGCGAAAGCAGGUCAUAGUGAUCCGGUGGUUCUGAAUGGAAGGGCCAUCGCUCAACGGAUAAAAGGUACUCCGGGGAUAACAGGCUGAUACCGCCCAAGAGUUCAUAUCGACGGCGGUGUUUGGCACCUCGAUGUCGGCUCAUCACAUCCUGGGGCUGAAGUAGGUCCCAAGGGUAUGGCUGUUCGCCAUUUAAAGUGGUACGCGAGCUGGGUUUAGAACGUCGUGAGACAGUUCGGUCCCUAUCUGCCGUGGGCGCUGGAGAACUGAGGGGGGCUGCUCCUAGUACGAGAGGACCGGAGUGGACGCAUCACUGGUGUUCGGGUUGUCAUGCCAAUGGCACUGCCCGGUAGCUAAAUGCGGAAGAGAUAAGUGCUGAAAGCAUCUAAGCACGAAACUUGCCCCGAGAUGAGUUCUCCCUGACCCUUUAAGGGUCCUGAAGGAACGUUGAAGACGACGACGUUGAUAGGCCGGGUGUGUAAGCGCAGCGAUGCGUUGAGCUAACCGGUACUAAUGAACCGUGAGGCUUAACCUUACAACGCCGAAG